rnacentral:lncRNA from 1 species
CAAGAACUGUAAGCAAAAGAUACCAAUAAUCUGAACUAUCUACAGCCCCAUUUAAAAUAAAAAUUAUGAAGCAUUUUAUAAUUGAAAAUCUACAUUUGGAAGAAGGUUUAGUAGUUUGCUUCACCAAGCUCCUAACAAAGAGCUAAACACAACAUAACCAGUGUAUUACAGCUGAAAUAACACUUUUUGGUAGCAUUUUGCUAGGACUCCUCUUUCUUUUCUUCCAUCCCUUUUUCUCAAUUGUGUUCAUAUUCCUCAGACUACCUUUGAUGCAACAGCUUCCAAGUCAAGGCAUUUUUUCCUGCUUACUCCUGUCCUUUAUAGUAUUGUUAGACUUUCUCUUCCAGGUGUUUUCCUUUGGCUCCAAGGUGGUAUAUCCUCUCAGUUGCCUCUGGAUUUGUGAGAAAUGAAACUUAAGCACAGCAGAUCGAGAUGGUUGUGCUUUGAAAAGCAUGCAGAAAUGGGGCUACAGAAUGUGAUGCUGUGUCAACACAUUUCACUCAGGACUGCUUACAAGACAAAUUUUUGUUUCAACAUUGAUUCUAGUUUUCUUGAUGUUUGCUUCUAAUAAGAUUUCUACAACUAUUCCUGAAAUAGACAACUAUGUGCUGCGGGAAUCUUAACGCAGGUCUCUCUGGAAUAGAGUGGUUUACAGCUGAUGGAGAAAGCAACCUAUCAAGAACUUUCUCACAAUAUGAAAGAACAAAGUAAAGAAAUUGUAAAUGAACUUCAAUUUUCAGUCUACAGAGUGACACAUUACUUUUACAAAUAUAAAAAUAAGGUGAGAAGUGCAGAAGAAUAAGAAAUGGGAAAAAAACCUGCAAGAAUUUGAUUCACCAAUAUCUAACACUUUGAAGAAUUACUUUUUCAUUUGCGGCAUGAAUUCUAAUUACUUCUAACUAAGAAUAGUGCCAUUUUAUGCCACUCUGAAGGUGAUCACACAGGUAACAAAACAAGGUGGCUCAUUGAUUAAUAGCUGAUGAGGUGAUUUAUAUGCAUAACUAAUUCUUUUUUAUAGGAUUAAUGCAACUAAAUUGUAUUAGCACAUCAUAUCUAGAACUUGCUACACUGAGUGAAAUGCAAUAUUGGGUUGUGCUAGCACUCCUAUUCUAAAAUGGACCACAGGUGAUUUAAGCAAUCACACUUACUUCACAUCAAAGAACUACAACCAUAACGAAUAGUAAUUUCCAGCUGAGCUAGUGAAAACUUUCUAAACUUCCUAAACUGUUGUAACUGCUUAAUAACAUAUAAUUAACUUACGAGCCUUAGCACUCAUUUGAUUAUAGCCUUAGUCUACUUUGAAAAUUCAAUCAUUAUGUCUGGAAUAAACGGCAAUAUAAAUUCUACA